GAUGUGGAGGUGCCCGAAAGGGAGCCGUAACACAGGUGCUGCAUGGCUGUCGUCAGCUCGUGUCGUGAGAUGUUGGGUUAAGUCCCGCAACGAGCGCAACCCUUGCCAUUAGUUGCUACAUUCAGUUGAGCACUCUAAUGGGACUGCCGGUGACAAACCGGAGGAAGGUGGGGAUGACGUCAAGUCCUCAUGGCCCUUAUGGGUAGGGCUACACACGUCAUACAAUGGCGCGUACAGAGGGUUGCCAACCCGCGAGGGGGAGCCAAUCCCAGAAAG
rnacentral:rRNA from 1 species